GUGCACGCCAGAAGACAGAAAUGUAUAUGAAUAUGGAUACAACUCAAACAAAGAUUCUUAUUCUCAAGAGAAUGACACGUGGUCCUCAAAGGAAAAGAACAUUACGUCCAAGUCCACCAAGAGGCACAGCCGAGCGCAUUCCCAAUGGUGGAACAGCACGAGGUAUCCCAUACAGGUAUGAAAACGGCGAGAAUCGCUUGGUUGCCCAGGAUUCGGCGACUCCUGUAACAUUCACCGGCUCAACAUACUGAGCACACUGCUGCACAUGCGUGAACCUCAUGUCUGAUGUGACAAGUGAAGGACCAUUACGGAACUGAAGCUGGUCGAGUUGUUCACUAAGGGGAAUAUCUGAAGUCAGUUGGUGCUCGCAGUCAGUCCCGUCACACAUAAAAGAAUAGCUUGGAGAUAGUGAUGUACCUCGAACAGUUGUCCAAGAUGAUUCCAUCGACUUAAAAUAAAGGGAAUAUUAUACGACAUCACAUGAUGGAAAAGGAAGCUAAUGAGCUGUGAAAGAAAAGUGGAUUCAUCCUACUCACCUGGUAAGAGUACGAGUACAGCGAAAACAAAUAUAAAAAUGAGUCGACAUUGUCUACGCAUUUUGCUUCAAUUUUUU